AUGCUUCAUCUCAGCUGGCUCUCACAGCACUGGCAGUGUACUGAAGCAUGCAGAUCUUCACAGGAGAUGCUGGGACAAGUCAGGACCCCUGGGGGCUUCAUACAUUCAUCUUUAAUGUAUUUCAUAGUGGAUUUUCCCUAUAGGCAUGAGAAUCAGGAUCAUUCUGGCCUUUUUUUCUCCACAGGCAUCUUUAUUCUGCAUAAUAAAUGCCUAUAUAGUGGGCAAAGAUACUAUUUAAAUCUAAUGUAAAUUUUUAUGCUGACAGUUUCAAUUUUAAUGGAUUGGAAUGGAUAUAUAUAUAAAAAAGCAUUGCAUCCAAAUUGUAAAAAAAAAUGCAUGAAAUAGCAUACAAAGCAUAAUUGUUUAUUUUAUUACUUUCUUGUUAAAGUUCCAAGAUAGAUUAUAGUAUGACUGAGUUAGACAAUUAUUUUCAUUUAAAUAUAUGGCUGAAUGUUUUUGCAUACGCAUAGGGAGAUUUGUGUACGUAAACCCAUUUGUCUUCCAUUAAUCAUCUUGUAGUACACUUUUCACUCUUGAUGGUGGCUUAUGUAGUUAUUAUGAUGGGCAACAGCGACAUCUAGUGUUACAAUUCUAAAUUCUUAUUGAGUUGGAGCAUAAACAACACACCAACAACAUAAUUUACUUGAAGCAGUAGUUAAAUUUGUAUGGUUUCUAAAUUUUUUGAGUGCAUCAAACAAUAAAAAUAGCCACCAAUGUUUUAGUUUAAUGUUA
ensembl:lncRNA